GACGAACGCUGGCGGCGUGCUUAACACAUGCAAGUCGAACGGGGCGCCUUGGGAGCUUGCUCUCGGGGUUGCCUAGUGGCGGACGGGUGCGUAACGCGUGAACAAUCUGUCCCUUUGAGGGGAAUAACAACUGGAAACAGUUGCUAAUACCGCAUAGGACCACAGCACCGCAUGGUGCAGGGGUGAAAGGUCGCAAGACCGCAGAGGGGUGAGUUCGCGUCCCAUUAGCUAGUUGGUGAGGUAACGGCCCACCAAGGCAACGAUGGGUAGCCGAUCUGAGAGGAUGACCGGCCACACUGGAACUGAGAAACGGUCCAGACUCCUACGGGAGGCAGCAGUGGGGAAUAUUGGGCAAUGGGCGAAAGCCUGACCCAGCAACGCCGCGUGAGGGAAGAAGGCUUUCGGGUCGUAAACCUCUGUCGCAGGGGAUGAAAAAAAUGACAGUACCCUGUGAGGAAGCUCCGGCUAACUACGUGCCAGCCGCCGCCGUAACAC
rnacentral:rRNA from 1 species